rnacentral:sRNA from 1 species
GCUGGGUGGUGGCGCACGCCUAUAGUCCCAGCUGCUGGGGAGGCUGAGAUAGGAGGAUCAUGAGUUCAAAGCUAGCCUCAACAAUGGCAAGGCACUAAACAACUCAGUGAGACCCUGUCUCUA